UGGGGAAUAUUGCGCAAUGGGGGGAACCCUGACGCAGCCAUGCCGCGUGAAUGAAGAAGGCCUUAGGGUUGUAAAGUUCUUUCGGUAUUGAGGAAGGUUGAUGUGUUAAUAGCACAUCAAAUUGACGUUAAAUACAGAAGAAGCACCGGCUAACUCCGUGCCAGCAGCCGCGGUAAUACGGAGGGUGCGAGCGUUAAUCGGAAUAACUGGGCGUAAAGGGCACGCAGGCGGUUAUUUAAGUGAGGUGUGAAAGCCCCGGGCUUAACCUGGGAACUGCAUUUCAGACUGGGUAACUAGAGUACUUUAGGGAGGGGUAGAAUUCCACGUGUAGCGGUGAAAUGCGUAGAGAUGUGGAGGAAUACCGAAGGCGAAGGCAGCCCCUUGGGAAUGUACUGACGCUCAUGUGCGAAAGCGUGGGGAGCAAACAGGAUUAGAUACCCUGGUAGUCCACGCUGUAAACGCUGUCGAUUUGGGGGUUGGGGUUUAACUCUGGCGCCCGUAGCUAACGUGAUAAAUCGACCGCCUGGGGAGUACGGCCGCAAGGUUA
rnacentral:rRNA from 1 species